rnacentral:rRNA from 1 species
AGCAGUCCCGCGGGAAAACGGAGGGUGCAAGCGUUGUCCGGAUUUAUUGGGUUUAAAGGGUGCGUAGGCGGCUAUUUAAGUCAGCGGUGAAAGACACCGGCUCAACCGGAGCAGUGCCAUUGAUACUGGAUAGCUUGAGUGUUGGAGGGGUACAUGGAAUUGAUGGUGUAGCGGUGAAAUGCAUAGAUACCAUCAGGAACACCGAUAGCGAAGGCAUUGUACUGGCCAACAACUGACGCUGAGGCACGAAAGCAUGGGGAGCGAACAGGAUUAGAUACCCCCGUAGUCCCUGUCUCUUAUACA